ACGGCGAGUGAAGCGGCAAAAGCUCAAAUUUGAAACCCUCGGGAUUGUAAUUUGAAGAUUUGGCAUUGGAGAAAGCUAACCCAAGUUGCUUGGAAUAGUACGUCAUAGAGGGUGACAACCCCGUCUGGCUAACCGUUCUCCAUGUAUUGCCUUAUCAAAGAGUCGAGUUGUUUGGGAAUGCAGCUCAAAGUGGGUGGUAAACUCCAUCUAAAGCUAAAUACUGGUGAGAGACCGAUAGCGAACAAGUACUGUGAAGGAAAGGUGAAAAGAACUUUGAAAAGAGAGUGAACUAGUAUGUGAAAUUGUUGAUAGGGAAGGAAAUGAGUGGAGAGUGGCCGAGGUUUCAGCCGCCCCUCGUGGGCGGUGUACUGCCGACGCCGAGUCAUCGAUAGCGAGACGAGGGUUACAAAUGGGAGCGCCUUCGGGCGUUCUCCCCUAACCCUCCACAC
rnacentral:rRNA from 1 species